AAACUGACUACAGUCCUGGACUACGAUCAAGUUAUGUUAUUCAAGUGACACUUUUAUAUCAUCUGCUUCUCGCGGGCAAAACUAUGGAAAUGAUGACGACUUUUUGAGGAAAAUGGUGAUCUGGCAAGACAGUUGAGUCUGUAAAACUCAUUCACUGCCUUCGCGAUGUACAUAAAUGUAUCAAUAUACCCACACCAUUGUUUGUAUUCAGUCAGAAUUAUUUUAUUUGGAUAAGAAUAAACUCGUCUCUGAUAAAUAUCUUGCCGAUGUAAGCUUAGACGUUUAUCAAAAUAUCAUUAAAAAUUGUGAUAAAUCUUCAGGCUUUCUUAAUUCUUCACAGAAAUAUUUGAAUUUACCAUAUAGAUAUAAUAUUUUUUGCCAAGAAAUUGCCCGUAUGGUAUCAAUUUUUGAAAUUAGACCUUAUUAUUCACUAAAUUUACUCUUAUAUAAAGUUGUUCUAAUCUAA